UGUGUGUUUUUACUGGUAAGGUGUGUUAUUACUGGUAAGGCGUGUGUUAUUACUGGUAAGGCGUGUUAUUACUGGUAAGGUGUGUUAUUACUGGUAAGGUGUGUUAUUACUGGUAAGGUGUGUUAUUACUGGUAAGGUGUGUUAUUGCUGGUAAGGUGUGUGUUAUUGCUGGUAAGGUGUGUUAUUGCUGGUAAGGUGUGUGUUAUUACUGGUAAGGUGUGUUAUUACUGGUAAGGUGUGUUAUUACUGGUAAGGUGUGUUAUUGCUGGUAAGGUGUGUGUUAUCACUGGUAAGGUGUGUUAUUGCUGGUAAGGUGUGUUAUUGCUGGUAAGGUGUGUGUUAUUACUGGUAAGGUGUGUUAUUGCUGGUAAGGUGUGUGUUAUUACUGGUAAGGUGUGUUAUUACUGGUAAGGUGUGUUAUCGCUGGUAAGGUGUGUGUUAUUACUGGUAAGGUGUGUUAUUACUGGUAAGGUGUGUGUUAUUACUGGUAAGGUGUGUUAUUACUGGUAAGGUGUGUGUUAUUACUGGUAAGGUGUGUUAUUGCUGGUAAGGUGUGUUAUUACUGGUAAGGUGUGUUAUUGCUGGUAAGGUGUGUUAUUGCUGGUAAGGUGUGUUAUUACUGGUAAGGUGUGUUAUUGCUGGUAAGGUGUUUUAUUACUGGUAAGGUGUGUUAUUACUGGUAAGGUGUGUUAUUACUGGUAAGGUGUGUUAUUGCUGGUAAGGUGUGUUAUUACUGGUAAGGUGUGUUAUUACUGGUAAGGUGUGUUAUUACUGGUAAGGUG
rnacentral:lncRNA from 1 species